rnacentral:rRNA from 1 species
UACGUAGGGGGCAAGCGUUGUCCGGAAUCAUUGGGCGUAAAGCGCGUGUAGGCGGCUGAGUAAGUCUGCUCUGAAAGCCCGGGGCUCAACCCCGGGAGGCGGGUGGAUACUGCUCAGCUCGAGUCCGGAAGAGGAGUGUGGAAUUCCUGGUGUAGCAGUGAAAUGCGCAGAUAUCGGGAGGAACACCGGUGGCGAAGGCGGUUCUCUGGGCCUGUACUGACGCUGAGGAGCGAAAGCGUGGGGAGCGAACAGG